rnacentral:lncRNA from 1 species
GUUAAAAAUUAACCUGUCAUAUUUAAAUACUAAGGUGUACAGCUUGUUAAAAUUAGAAAUGAUGUAACAACACACUCCAUUGUGAAAAUUAUCAUUUAAAAUUCGUUGUUAUAGUUAAAAAUUUUAUUCACGUAUACUUUAGUGGAGUUAGUUAGGCAAACCACAUUACACAAAAGUUUAGUAUUCGAGAACUAAAUUCAGUAAUAAAAUCUUAUUAUCAAGAGAUCUAAGAUUUAAAAAAGUAAUUUUGUGUUGAUUUAAAGUUAUCGAAUUUAUUUAACUUAUUGAUAGCUGUUGGAAUUUGUGUAGGUAAGUGUGUAACAAAUCACAAUGCGGGUGACUGAGGUGUAAAAAUGUCUUAAAUAAUCUAGGGGGAUAUAUCAUUAAGAAAGCACAAGCUCAACCUUAGGCGACUAAUUCCUAAAGAUCUCUCAGGCUGCCCGGAUCCCUAAGGGUCCAAAA